rnacentral:lncRNA from 13 species
UACCUGACAAAUAGUUCUUUUUCUCCCCUCCCUCAGCUUUCAGUGCCAAUUAAAGAAAACAUCCCAGGAUGUGUAUUAUUGUGUUCUAAUUAUAGUUGAGGGUACAGUGGCAUGUGAUUGUGGUAUAAUAACUAAGCCCUGGAGUGUCUUUUAUUCCAUUAAAAAUGACCUUAGCCUUGGAUCACAGAGCUUUGCAUUGAUUUGUCUUUUUUGUGGUUUCCUCUCCACAGGUCUGCUUCCUCAACCAGGAUGAUGCAUUGAAUUGUGACACACAGAGAAAUUAACUAUCUUUCCCAUGAGAAAUAAUUUAUCAUUCAGCAUUUGCUAUUAAUGUGCCUCUGCUGCAAGUGAAUGAAGCCAUAUAAAGUGUAUGGAAACUAUGCAGUAGAUGAACACUGCGUAAAUAUCCUUUAAUGUUUAUUAUGGGCACAAUAAUUUUAUCAUCAGUAAAUGGGAGGGAUUUGGGCUGCAGAAAAAGAGAUGUUGAUAAGUUUUGUUGCUAUAAAAAAUGGCUGCAAUAUCUUCAAUAGAUGCAAUACCUCUUUAGGUCUAAUACAAAUUUUGUUUUUUGCCUGUUUCAAUGAGGUCCUUUAAAACUUAUAAUUACUACUGGAUCUGAUUGUGUCUGCAGAAAGACUUCCCAGCCUUCUUUAGAACUGAGGAGGUACCUCAGUUCUCAGCCUAGACAAUAUUAACACAUUAUCUCUGGACUGUAUUUCUAUUUGAGAAACAAGAACUAGAAGGGACAAGGUUCAGGGCCUUUCAUGGGAUUUUAUUGUUUGGAAUCCAACAAAAACAUAGUUGAGAUGAGGUCUUGGAAGGUGGCUUGUCAAGAUGUAUGUCUGCACCAUUUUACUCUUACAACUAUGCCUAUGCACACAGUUUACCACAGAGGAAGUAUUGGUGAGCAUAAGAGUGGGCAGCACAAUGGAAGCCCUCCUGAGUGCAGGACCUGCCACUUGUCCAGGGAGCCAUGACUGGGGAUGUAUUUGACCCCACGGCCACAGUAAGGAAAACAGUCUGGUCCCUGGGCCUUGCAACACGGAUUGAAACGGCAACAUUUCACAGAGAUGUCAAAACAGGAAGAACUUCUGGCAUAAUUAGCACUGAUAAUAGCAUAAAAAAAUACUAGCUAGUCUUUCUAAUGAAGAAUCCUGUUAAAGGACAAUCCAUAUCAAGUUUGAUUGUAAGACUGAUGAUGUAGGUCUGUCUGACCAUAUUUGCUGCUUGCAUAUUAAAUUUCCUAAGCUCAUUAAUCUGUAACUGUGAAUGGAGUUUUUUUUUUUUUUCACUGAGACAGAGUUUCGCCCUUGUUACAGGCUGGAGUGCAAUGGUGCGAUCUCGGCUCACCUCAACCUCCACCUCCUGGGUUCAGGCAAUUCUCCUGCCUCAGCCUCCUGAGUAGCUGGGAUUACAGGCACGCGCCACCAUGCCCAGCUAAUGUUUUGUAUUUUUAGUAGAGACGGGGUUUCACCAUGUUGACCAGGAUGGUCUUGAUCUCUUGACCUCGUGAUCCACCCGCCUCAGCCUCCCAAAGUGCUGGGAUUACAAGCGUUAGCCACGGUGCCUGGCCUGGAGUUAUUUUUUAUGUGGUCAGAUGCUUCAAAUAAACACACCUAUCAAUGAAAUCUUAGGCUAUUA